AUGUAUCAUAUAUAAAAUCAGUAUCCUUAUUCAUUCUUUGUUUUGUAAUAAGGAUAAAAAAUUCAUAUAAUAUCUUGCCCAUUGUUGGACAUACUGAGUGUAUUUAAUCAAGUCACCAGUAUCAUUACAAUGCUUAUCACUUAUCACUUAGCCACCUAAGACACUCAGCGUCAUUUAUGUAUGUUUCUGUUUCAUGCUGCUCCUUAAUAUGUGCUUCAAAUGCUAAUUUUUAUCAGAUAUUUCCUUGGAGAAUGUUCCUUUAAACAUACUUUGCAACUUGCCAGUCACUAUUAUAUGUUAACCCAAUAACCAUUUAAACCUAUAGCAUUUUUGGUAACCUCGCUAUUCUCACCUCUCUCCAUGUCUCACUUCUCUUCAGAUUGCAUGCCUCGCCUAUAGCGGAAGGGAGGAUUAUUGUGCUCCUCUCCCUUUGGUGCAAAGAGUUACAUGCUAGGAGAGACAUGAGAUUAAAACUGGAUCUCCAGUUAGGAAGGAACGUGAACGUUAUGACCCUCCCAGUGAUGCAGUGUUAAAUGUCCUUCUUACCUACACUGUAGUAGCCAGUCAGGAGGUUUGUGGUCCCUACACAAACGAACUGGUGCCCACCUCAUCCAGCUUUCCUUUCCUUCCUGAUCACAAAGGAACACACUCUGUGCCCUUCCAGUCAGGGGGAGCUGUGUGACUAAUCUGGACAGCUGUCUGAACAAAAGUGACAUGGGUUAUUCUGGCACAGCAACAUCUGAGAGUGGGCAUGAGCUCUGCAAGUUCUCUCUUUUGUAACUUUGGAAGCUAUUUUUUCCAGAUGGUGUAGCCACAAAAUGGAAGGAGUCUGGACCCUGUUCGGAAGGGAACAGCCACAGAGAGCUGUCUGAUCUGAAGGAGACUUUUUGGGUCUGCUUUGAACUGGAGCUCACAGCAGGAAUGGGACAUUUGGAUUUCUCCUUCUCCUGUCCCUUCCCAUCUGGUCUUCACAUGCUACCUUCCCAUAUGGCAAAGGGUGGUGAGGCCUGCUCCAUAAAUAACUUCCUUGCACAACCCUCCAUGCUCUUUCUCCUUCCACUGGUUUUAUGUGGAUGCUACUGGAAGCCUCAGAAGCUACAUGCCAGAGAUGAAAGGAGAUGGUGCCCUGAAUCAGUGCCUGGAGGGAGCCUACCACCAGUCAGGUAACCUGUUUUGGACUUGACUUGGCUAGAUUUAUUUGACUUGAUUAUCUGUUACAGAUACUAGCCCUGCCCUAACUAGUAUAAGAACCAUUCUGGAAAUGGAAAGGACUCCAUUGGGAAGCACCUCAUUCUUUGUAACUAAGGUAUUUCCUUCUGCAAAGAUGCCUUAGAAGGAAUUAACAUUUGUACAACAGUUGAAUUACAUAUUCUCCGAGUUUCUCUCUAAUCCUGAGCUUUUCAUUAUUUUAUUCGCUCAAAGAUUUUUCUAACUUACUACACUCUCAGACAUUCAUUUGAGAGUUGAAAGCAUAUUUUCCUUUAACAGUCCCUGAAUGUCUCUUCUAAUUUGCUGUUUUGAAAAUGCUCUGAAUAUUUUAGACAACCAAACUUGGUAGCUCUGGGCUUAAAAUAAUGAUCACUAUGGAAAAAACAGGGUAUGAAUUGUAUAGAGAGAAUGAUUUUCAUUUUUCAAUAUAUUCCUAUUCAAAUGCAAGGAAAAAAAGAUUAGAAUGAAAUACACAAAAUAGCAAAAGUGGUUA